UCUGGGUAUAAAUACUCUCCUUCAGGGAGCAGCUGAUUCUACAGAAGCAAAACUGACCCUAUAAAAACAAAUCAAACCGACAGCCACCACCCUAAAAACGGUAGCCAGAAGGACCUGGUUUCUGUGUCGUCGCCCCAGGACAAGCAGCGUCCUUUGCUGCAUUUUUACAAUGGGGAUCAUUUUGAGGUAGGGAGCCGGCAGGCCCUGCUUGAUGAAGAGUCAUAAGACCAGAACCAAGGUCUCUGAUAAAACAGGAGGCGGUGAAGAAACCGGCCCAAACCAGCCAGAACCAAGAUGGCCAUGGCAAACCUCAGGUUGCCCUCACUGCUCAUCAAUGCAUUAGCUACUGAAAGAAACUCCCACCAGCGCCAUGACAGUUUGCAAAUGCCAUGGCAACACCCAGAAGUCGCCCUGGAUGCUUUAAAAAGGCUUGCUCUUGAAUUCGUUCCCGUGCAAAGCCAAGAACCCACUGGCCUUCCGGCUAGACCCUAGUUUUGGGGUCUGCUUUCCUGUAUCAUCGCCACAUUCCGUGUCGUGGGUGCUGAGCUGCAGCUGCGGUGUGCUGGUGGCCGGACCUGGGCCCCGUCCCCACAGAGCUCUGUCCAGUGAGACGAAGGCUGCCAUCUUGCCUACUCAUUAGGCAAAAAAAUAAAAAACCACCUAGGUAGCCAUCCACAGAGGGCUGGUUCAAUAAA